rnacentral:lncRNA from 1 species
AAACAUUCAAAGUGUUGAACCCUACAAAUACAUACAACUUAGCUAGCUUAAAUUAUUGUACAUUCUCUAGUAAGAAUAUUAGGAGUUAAUACUGUUGACUAAAACAGAAACACAUAAGGAGGUAUAGAAACUCCCUCAUCAUAAGAACAUAACCGCAAGGCUCCUUUCUCCGGAUUGCUCACUGAGAUUAUUGGAAUGCUAGAAGAACUCUUUUCAAGUCUAGAUAAACGACAACUGUUGUUGCCAAAAAAAGCAAGAAGAAAUCACAAAACAUAUAAUUACUGAGUCAAAAAUAUCAAAACCACAAACAAAACUAAUAAAGCUAGCAUCACCUUACCAUUCUCCUAACAAAUUGAUCAAAAGAACAGGAUAGCAACCAAAAAACUUACUGAAAUUUAAACUUUUUGUUUUAAGCUGAAAUUAGAAGUAAAAAGUUAGGCACCAAUGAGAGUUCUUCCUGAAUAUCUAACCAUACGUCCCUAGAAAAACAAUGGUUUGAAAUAUCAGUUAAACGUGCAAAGCCUGACAUUCAUUUCUAUAAAUGUCGAACCACAUGUACAUGACCAAACCAGACCUAUGUUAUCAAGGUUCCUUCCCAUAAAUGUCUGUCCAUAAAAAGACGAGUUGGGUAAGAAGAAACUUUUUAUUCUCAACCAGACCUAAUUGGCAGACACAGACCAAAACUAAUGAUCAAGAUGACUGGCUAACUUUAAUCUAUCUACUUAACAAACAUAUUUUAAAAAACGAUUAGCUAAAAAGAAAAGACUCCGAACAGAUACUUGACAAUCAACCCACUAAAUGGAUUUUCAAAAUAAGAAGGAAAACAGAGAAAGGUGCAAACACUGAGAUUCAAUUAUUUUGUUUUCUGAUCUAAUCUUUGUGUUCAAAACGCCAAAAAAAGGAUUGGCAAGAUUAAAACUCCCUACAGAAAGAUUAUCACUAAAAUCUUAUUGUUAUACCCAAUAAGAUUAUUAAAUACAUUUUACCCAUAAUAUUUAAGAUGCAAAGCAAAGCAGAAUUAUCGAAUAGAAAUAAAAAGUGAAAUAAUUUACCAUUUUGGUACUUGAGGCUCUUUUUCCCUUCUCUCAGUUGGAUGCUUUCUUGAUUGAAUUUAUUUAGAGCUUCUAUAACUAAAAAAGAGUGCAAAAAUAGCUCUACUCCCAGUAAAAAAGAAAUGAAAACAUAUGAUAUAAAUAAAUAAACCACAGGCAAUCGCUUUCUUGUUCUUACUAAAGUGUCCAACAACAUAAAUACAAAAAAAAAUCACAUAAAAAUUUGCAGCUAGCUAACCUUCAAAAUUAGCAUCAUUAUACUACAAUUGACCUAGGCUGGAGAGCGGACAAGGUAGCCAAUGUGUGCUAAAAUGCCAUGAUGCAUAGCAUGUAAUACAGAAGACGACAUAGCCAAUAUAUGCCAAAAUGCCAAAAGAAUUUAAAAGAAAAAGUAUUAGCAAACAUUUUAGUAAAAUAUAAGAUAAUUAUUUUAUAUUUUUAUUUAAACUGGGUCAAUUGGAAUAUUAAAUAUAUUUCACCUAUAAUAUUCAAGGCGCAAAGCAAAGCAAAAUUAUCGAAUACAAAUAAGAAGUAGAGUAAUUUACCAUUGUGGCACUUGAGGCUCUUUUUCACUUCUCUCAAUUGGAUGCUUUUAUGAUUGGAUUUAUUUGCUAUAACCCAAAAAGAAUAUUGAUCAAAACUAUAGAGUUGAACUGCAGGAAGAUGGAGAAAGGAAAGUCAAACCAAGUGUACAGCCAAUAUGUGUACCUUUAGAAGAUUCUGACUAUUGAUCAAAGCUACAAAGCAUUUCCAAAAACAACUCAAUCUUAGAGUAAUUGUAAAAGGUUAAACAGAUUCCACAAAGGGUGAUGCAGAAUAAAGAAGACAAAAUUAAGCAAAUGCAUGCAAUUUUACUUCCUGAUUUCACUCAUCCCAAGUCGAUCAUGAAACAAAUUUUAGAUUGAAACAAGAAGCUAUUAAAAUAUAGAUCAAGAUCAAGCCACAGGAACUUCAUUUCCUUCUUUGGCACACAGUAAUUUAUGGAGUACAAGAUUAGAACUUCAAAACAAGAAAAGUAUAUUUUUCUGUUAGAAAGUUAUCACUAUUCACCUUAUAUCUCUCUUUAAAAAGUUAUCACUAUUCACCUUAUAUCUCUCUUUUAAAAAGUUAUCACUAUUCACCUUCUUUUAAGUCACGUAUCAUAAAUAUUAAGAAAAGCUAGCAUUGAAAAUAAGAAGCUAUGUACGUAACAAGAACCAAAUGAAAUUAGGAGAAAGUUUGACCCUGGCCAAAAAUGCCCAACCAAAAACUAAAACCCAAAUCCUGCAAGGAAGAAAAUACAGAGAGAGUAAACUAGAACCAAAUUGAAUAAUUAAACUUAAUCCAGCUACAACUAUCUAAACAUCAGCAAUAUCAUAAUUAAGUAGAGACACAAAAACCAAAAGCACAAAACAUUGAAAGCCAAUCACUAGAGCAAUCACCCAAAAUAAUAUACUAAUGUCUAUUAGCAAUGCAAUAAAACUACAGUUUUGCGACAAUGGAAGACAUAAGAUCAGUAGGUAGUAGCAUAAAGAGCUCAGCCUUCCAUAGUUCCAAAUCAGUCAGGAUUAAGAAAAAAAAAAAAGAAUCAUAUUUCAACGUAAAAUAAUACUUAACAAUCAAAAUGUUGAACCCUACAAAUACAUACAACUUAACUAGCUUAAAUUAUUGUACAUCUAUUAGGAGUUAAUACUGUUGACUAAAACAGAAACACAUAAGGUAGUAGAGAAACUCCCUCAUCAUAAGAACAUAACCACAAGGCUCCUUUCUCCGGAUUGCUCACUGAGAUUAUUGGAAUGCUAGAAGAACUCUUUUCAAGUCUAUAUAAACGACAGCUGUUGUUUACAAAAAAAGCAAGAAGAAAUCACAAAACAUAUAAUUACUGAGUCAAAAAUAUCAAAACCACAAACGAAACUAAUAAAGCUAGCAUCACCUCACCAUUCUCCUAACAAAUUGAUCGAAAGAAACAGCAUAGCAACCAAAAAACUUACUGA